rnacentral:rRNA from 1 species
GUAAGUAACUGUGCACAUCUUGACGGUACCUAAUCAGAAAGCCACGGCUAACUACGUGCCAGCAGCCGCGGUAAUACGUAGGUGGCAAGCGUUAUCCGGAAUUAUUGGGCGUAAAGCGCGCGUAGGCGGUUUUUUAAGUCUGAUGUGAAAGCCCACGGCUCAACCGUGGAGGGUCAUUGGAAACUGGAAAACUUGAGUGCAGAAGAGGAAAGUGGAAUUCCAUGUGUAGCGGUGAAAUGCGCAGAGAUAUGGAGGAACACCAGUGGCGAAGGCGACUUUCUGGUCUGUAACUG